UAUGUAGGGUGCGAGCGUUAAUCGGAAUUACUGGGCGUAAAGCGUGCGCAGGCGGCUGCUCAAGUCAGGGGUGAAAGCCCAGAGCUCAACUCUGGAAUUGCCUUUGAGACUGAGUGGCUUGAGUACGGGAGAGGUGAGUGGAAUUCCCAGUGUAGAGGUGAAAUUCGUAGAUAUUGGGAAGAACACCGGUGGCGAAGGCGGCUCACUGGCCCGUAACUGACGCUCAUGCACGACAGCGUGGGGAUCAAACAGG
rnacentral:rRNA from 1 species